CUGUUGUGUACAGACCUCCUGACUACAGUUUGACACCAUUCAUGCAAAACCUGCCACAGCAGAAUCUUCAUUCAGGUGUCCUGAGGACAUAUUACAGUUACCACAACCCUGUGUUUUGUGUCCUGUCCCCGAGCCAAUCAUGAAGUCGUCUGACAGGGCACACACAGUUCUGUUUCCUUUGUGGGAAAACCUUCAAACUUCACCAUCCUCAGCUGAAACAACAACAUCUUAACACCAUCUUCAUGAACUGCUGAGCCAAACCUGAUCCAUCAGUGCUGGACUGCACAGAUAACUACAUGCCACAAGGUGACUGCUGUGUUAUGAACUGCCAUACCAGUGUGUCUUCAAUGGAGAAGAUGACACACCCAUCACCUGACCUCCUGCCUGAUCUGGAGACCAUCAUCAUGCUGCCACACUACACACCUCUGAGACCAUCAAUGAUGACUGAUACUGAGGAAACUGUAUAUCCUGUCAGAGAUGCUCAGUGAUCCUCAGAGCAGAGAGAGGUAAUGCUGUCUUCUGAGUUCUUCAGUGUCCCAACUGAGACAUUCAAACCUCAUUGCAGAGCUCAUGUCUUUCCUCACCAUCAUGUGAGUGUGAGAUUGCUCUGGAUUCUGGUUAUGUGGCCUGCAGCACCUAUGAGAACAAGCUCGUACAGUGUGCCUGCAUUCCAGCUUCUUAGACUCUACGCAAGUCGACAGAGUAUCAGUGCUUGGCCACUCUUACAGACACCGACUUCUGUCAACUCACUGCUACUGAACAG
ensembl:lncRNA